rnacentral:rRNA from 1 species
AGCGAACGCUGGCGGCAGGCUUAACACAUGCAAGUCGAGCGGGCAUCCUCGUGGUGUCAGCGGCAGACGGGUGAGUAACGCGUGGGAACGUGCCCUUCGGUUCGGAAUAACUCAGGGAAACUUGAGCUAAUACCGGAUACGCCCUUGUGGGGAAAGGUUUAUCUGCCGAAGGAUCGGCCCGCGUCUGAUUAGCUUGUUGGUGAGGUUACGGCGCACCAAGGCGACGAUCAGUAGCUGGUCUGAGAGGAUGAUCAGCCACAAUGGGACUGAGACACGGCCCAGACUCCUACGGGAGGCAGCAGUGGGGAAUAUUGGACAAUGGGGGCAACCCUGAUCCAGCCAUGCCGCGUGAGUGAUGACGGCCUUAGGGUUGUAAAGCUCUUUUCUCCGGGACGAUAAUGACGGUACCGGAGGAAUAAGCCCCGGCUAACUUCGUGCCAGCCGCCGCAGUAAGAC